rnacentral:rRNA from 1 species
UAACGGCCGCGGUAUUUUAACCGUGCAAAGGUAGCGCAAUCAAUUGUCUUUUAAAUGGAGACCUGUAUGAAUGGCAUCACGAGGGUUUAGCUGUCUCUUUUUCCUGGUCAAUGAAACUGAUCUGCCCGUGCAGAAGCGGGCAUAACAUUACAAGACGAGAAGACCCUAUGGAGCUUUAGACGCCCACCAAUCAUGAAAAGCAGCCCCGAUCAAGGGGCCCCUAAGCAACAUGGCCCUGGCACAAACGUCUUCGGUUGGGGCGACCACGGGAGAAAACAAAGCUCCCGAGCGGAUAGGGGACACCCUAGAACCCAGAGCCACUGCUCUAAGUCACAAAAUAUUUGACCGACAAUGAUCCGGCUUCUUGCCGAUCAACGGACCAAGUUACCCUAGGGAUAACAGCGCAAUCCCCUCCCAGAGUCCAUAUCGACGAGGGGGUUUACGACCUCGAUGUUGGAUCAGGACAUCCUGAUGGUGCAGCCGCUAUCAAGGGUUCGUUUGUUCAACGAUUAAAGUCCUACGUGAUCUGAGUUCAGACCGGAGUAAUCCAGGUCAGUUUCUAUCUGUACCGCCACC